rnacentral:tRNA from 1 species
AUUUGUUGUAGUCUAGCUGGUUAGGAUAUCUGGUUCGCACCCAAAAAGACCUGGGUUCAAGUCCCAGCGAUGGAAA